GACGAACGCUGGCGGCGUGCUUAACACAUGCAAGUCGAACGGUGAAGCGCCUUCCUUUUUGGUGGGUGUGGAUGAGUGGCGAACGGGUGAGUAACACGUGAGUAACCUGCCCCCUUCUUCUGGAUAACCGCAUGAAAGUGUGGCUAAUACGGGAUAUUCUGGGUCUGUCGCAUGAUGGGUCUGGGAAAGAUAUUGUUUCGGUGGGGGAUGGGCUCGCGGCCUAUCAGCUUGUUGGUGGGGUGAUGGCCUACCAAGGCGGUGACGGGUAGCCGGCCUGAGAGGGUGGACGGUCACACUGGGACUGAGGCACGGCCCAGACUCCUACGGGAGGCAGCAGUGGGGAGUAUUGCACAAUGGGCGCAAGCCUGAUGCAGCGACGCCGCGUGAGGGAUGGAGGCCUGCGGGUUGUGAACCUCUUUCGCCAGUGAAGCAGGCCUGCCUCGUUUGUGGGUGGGUUGACGGUAGCUGGAUAAGAAGCGCCGGCUAACUACGUG
rnacentral:rRNA from 1 species